UCCGGUUUGUCACCGGCAGUCUCAUUAGAGUGCCCAACUAAAUGUAGCAACUAAUGACAAGGGUUGCGCUCGUUGCGGGACUUAACCCAACAUCUCACGACACGAGCUGACGACAGCCAUGCACCACCUGUCACCCGCCCCGAAGGACCCCGCGUCUCCGCGAGUUUUCGAGUGAUGUCAAACCCAGGUAAGGUUCUUCGCGUUGCAUCGAAUUAAACCACAUGCUCCACCGCUUGUGUGGGUCCCCGUCAAUUCCUUUGAGUUUCAGUCUUGCGACCGUACUCCCCAGGCGGAAUGCUUAAAGCGUUAGCGACGGCACCCGGGGACUUUAAAACCCCAGACACCAAGCAUUCAUCGUUUAAGGCUAGGACUAC
rnacentral:misc_RNA from 1 species